rnacentral:rRNA from 1 species
UACGUAGGGUGCGAGCGUUGUCCGGAAUUAUUGGGCGUAAGGAGCUCGUAGGCGGUGUGUCACGUCGAUCGUGAAAACUUUCAGCUUAACUGGGAGCUUGCGGUCGAUACGGGCAUCACUGGAGUUCGGCAGGGGAGACUGGAAUUCAAGGUGUAGCGGUGAAAUGCGCAGAUAUCGAGAGGAACACCUGCGGCGAAGGCGGGUUGCUGGGCUGACACUGACGCUGAUGCGCGAAAGCCAGGGGAGCGAACGGG